AUACUUACCUGGCAGGGGAGAUACCAUGAUCACGAAGGUAGUUUUCCCAGGGUGAGGCUUAUCCAUUGCACUCUGGAUGUGCGGACCCCUGCGGUUUCCCCAAAUGUGGGAAACUCAACUGCAUAAUUUGUGGUAUUGGGGGACUGCAUUUGCACUCUCCCC
rnacentral:snRNA from 1 species